UUUCCCUAUGGAACUUCCCUUUACGUGUCACAAAGAGAGAGAAAGGAGGAGAGAAUGCAUCUGUGGAUGGAGAGAGAUGAUACCAAAGUCAUCCAUAGUGAAACCUCCCUCAUGUCAGUGGCUUUACACCACAGAUGAAUUUGUCACAGCAUGUUUAAAAUUACAACUUCUUGAUUGCCACUUCACAUGGAGCAGAUGUUUUCAGAGAUCUAUCGAUGAUGACUCCAAGAUCUCGUUUGAGUGAUAGCAGCUAAUUCAGACCUCAUCAUUUUGUGUAUGGAUCUUCCUGGUGUCCUCUGCAUUGAAGAUCGAUGCAAAUAAUUCAUUUAGGUUCUCCACGACGACCUUGUCUUCCUUGAGUGCUCCUUUAGUACCUCAAUCAUCUCAAUCAGCCCCGCUGAUUGUUUGGUGGGCUUCCUCCAGCCAGGUAACCCCACUGUCGGUACCAGCAUCCCAUGGUAUCAGAUCCUGAACGACUUUCUGAACCCAGCCACAAUCCUUGGUACAAAGAUCUUCAGCUGACAGGCCUACAUUCCAGUCAGGACUGGGGCCUAGCAUGAUCCUGAUGGAGGCAUUCACUCACAUGCCCUUCAGACUCAGACAACAAUGAGAAGUAGACUUUGUCUACUGAUUGAAGACAGAUGAUUAGAAAUCCACAACAAAGGAUAUUUUAGACACAUUUUGAUGGAAACCUUUUGUAAAUUGCUGUUCCCUGUUAUAAGUUCAUAGCAGUAGAGUUGGAUCUUUGUUUGAAACCACUGUUAGAAAAGUAAAUAUUAAUCAUGUUCUCAGAAUAAUAUAAAAUCAAUCAACUGCACAUGAGACUUACUAAAUCAACAUUGAACCUGUUUAUAAGUCUUUGUGAACACUUUGCU